rnacentral:rRNA from 1 species
UUCGGGACGCCGGCGAGUGGCGAACGGGUGAGUAACACGUGGAGACCUGCCCUGGGGUGGGGGAUAACAGCUAGAAAUGGCUGCUAAUACCGCAUACGCCUUACGAGGGAAAGAUUUAUUGCCCCAGGAGGGUUCCGCGUCGGAUUAGCUUGUUGGUGGGGUAACGGCCUACCAAGGCGACGAUCCGUAGCUGGUCUUAGAGGAUGAUCAGCCACACUGGGACUGAGACACGGCCCAGACUCCUACGGGAGGCAGCAGUGGGGAAUAUUGCGCAAUGGGGGAAACCCUGACGCAGCGAUGCCGCGUGGGUGAAUAGGGCCUUAGGGUUGUAAAGCCCUUUCAGUGGGAACGAUGAUGACGGUACCCACAGAAGAAGCCCCGGCUAACUCCGUGCCAGCAGCCGCGGUAAUACGGAGGGGGCGAGCGUUGU